UCGUAGCUUUUGCAAAUGUAAAAUGUUUUCAGUCUUAACAUUGUUCCUAAACUCUAUUUGCCUCAAGCAUCAUCAACCAUCGCCUGUUUGCUUUUCAGUAUUAUAAAUGAGCUUCCAAGUAACUUGAAAUAACUGACAACCAUGUGCUAGAUUUUUCUUCAGCUAGUCCAAAAUGGUGAUAGAAUACCCCACCAACAUACACACAUGACAACCAUGUGCUAAAUUUUUCUUCAGCUAGUCCAAAAUGGUGAUAGAAUACCCCACCAACAUACACACAUGUGGUACCUACAAUUGACAUACAGACCCGUAGUGUACAAGGGGAUAUCAUUCCGUUUCAUAAGCUAGACACGUGUAAAAGCAUCGUUGCCAGAGUGACGUCGGACAAGAAUAUCCGGUGCUUUCCUAUAACCAAAGUGUUCAUUUAAUAUGAUUAAAUAGAUUGCUCAAUACUAAAUGGAACUAGAAAACUGCAUUUGCUACCACUCAGAUCUGGUUACUGGAGAAGUAGAAUUGUCAAAAACUAGCUCAAUGUUUGAGGUUCCAGUGCCAGCUGACCAUGAUAACAUUUUGAAUCUGUUACUCAGAUCUGGUUACUGGAGAAGUAGAACUGUCAAAAACUAGCUCAAUGCUUUGAGGUUCCAGUGCCAGCUGACCAUGAUAACAUUUUGAACCUGUUAUCUGUCACCCUUUCCACCUCCAAACCCUCUGUUUCAUCUUUUCUCCUAAGAGUAUAAAGAUAGUAGUUCUACCUAUUUUACCCAGCAAUCAACCAAAUGUGAAUGUACUCAAGAAACUGUGCAACUCAACCAAUCAGAAUAUCAAGAAUUCACAUUCCUGAGUGAAUGCACCAGGAAAAAGAAAUCCAGAUUCACAAGCACAAUCCCAGAUUUCUCUACCAAUGUGAAGUGCUUGAUUAAACCUUUUAAAGGAAAGAUCAGAAAAUAAAGCAUGAUUCAAUUUCAAACUCUGUUUCUCAUUAUUAUGUCAAUCCUGGUACAGCCAUCCAUUCUCUUUUGUUUUGCUUUUUUCUUCUUUUUAAGUGAUGUAUAAAGCCCAACCUUCCUUUGCCUUUCUAUUCUUGUGCUUUCCCUCCUCAUUACCAUCUUGCAAAGAAAGGUAUGCGGGUGUUGGGUCAUUUUCACAGAUAAAUUAUAUAUAGGGAUUGUAAUACACGUAAUAA
rnacentral:lncRNA from 1 species